rnacentral:lncRNA from 1 species
UCCUGAGUUCAAAUCCCAGCAACCACAUGGUGGCUCACAACCAUCCAUAACAAGAUCUGACUCCCUCUUCUGGUGCAUCUGAAGACAGCUACAGUGUACUUAUAUAUAAUAAAUAAAUAUUAAAAAAAAAAGAAAAGAAAAGAAAGCUGAACUCGGGUCCUCAAGACAUCUUCCAGAUCUCAAGUAUUUGGUGGCUAGUAACAUAAUAGGGGAAAUGAAAAAUAGUGUAUUAUAGAAAAGUAAAAAUACGUCACAAUUAGUAGGUUGCUGCUAAAACUGCUUAGGAAGAAACUCAUAGUGCUGAAUGACUGAAUAUAUAAGAAAGAUGAAAGACCUCAAGUAAAUAAGGGUCUGGAGAGAAGGUUCAGUGGGUGGAAUCAUUUGCUCUACAAACAUGAAGACCUGAGUUCAAGUCCCCACAACUCAUGUAAAAUCCAGGUGCUUGUGUGGAGAGAAGGGAGAGAGAGAAGAGGAUUGAAGGUGACCCCCCAGAGGCUCACAGUCCAGCUAGGCAGUAUGUCCCACAUAAGCUGAAAGGCAAGAGCUGACUCUUGGGGUUGUUCUCCUGGUACCCAAAUGUGCACAUGGUGUGUUACACGUAUAUGUGCAAGUGCAUGUGUGUGCAAGUGCGCACACACACACACAUACAUCUCAGCUAGGCCUCUUUAAGAAGAGCAAAUGAUCCGGGCAUGGUGGCGCACACCUUUAAUCCCAGCACUUGGGAGGCAGAGGCAGGCGGAUUUCUGAGUUCGAGGCCAGCCUGGUCUACAGAGUGAGUUCCAGGAGAGCCAGGGCUACACAGUGAAACUCUGUCUCGAAAAACAAAACAAAACAAAACAAACAAACAAAAAAAAGAGCAAAUGAAGAGGCUGAGAAAUAGCUUAGUGGUAACAGUGAUUGCUGCCCUUUGGUUUCCAGUUCACAGCUGCCUGUAAACUCCAGCUCCUGGAGGAUCUGAUGCCUGUGUAAUAGGGAACAGAAUUAUUGCAACUUCAUAAGCAAGAACAACUGGUAUUAUUAUAGGCCAGCACAUAAAGUUUCCACUUAGGAAAACAAAUACCCUUUUAACAGUAAGUAGAAUGAGCUGUAAAGUAAUGAGCUCCCUUGUGGCCAUUAAGCGUUAAAGUAGUGGCUGAAUAUUUGGUAAAUCUCUUCUUGAGACAGUGGUUUAACGUGGUCGCUUCUGAGGUCCCUUAAUGAUUCAUGUCUGUAUAUAACCCUGACAUUUGCUAGUGGGUUGCUAUUCCUGUGGGUAGGAGGGAAAGGACAUGUAAGAGGCACGUAGGUUUUGCUGUCACAGCCAAAUAGGAACAUUAUAAUGCUUGCUGCAACCUAAUGCUUGUGGUUUCUCCAGGGUGUGUCAGAACUUCGCAUAGAAAAUCUGAAGAGGGGCUGGAGAGAUGGCUCAGUGGUUAAGAGCACCGACUGCUCUUCCAGAGGUCCUGAGUUCAAUUCCCAGCAACCACAUGGUGGCUCACAACCAUCUGUAUUGGGAUCCGAUGCCCUCUUCUGGUGUGUCUGAAGACAGAGUCAAGUAUACUCAUAUAAAAUAAAUAAAUCUUAAAAGAAAAUGAAUAUAAAAAUUAGUCAGGCAGUGGUGGCCCAAGCCAU